AGCUUAUGAACAGUACCUCCCUUAGUAACAGUGUACUGCCCAUUUUACCCCUGCUUUUUUCUGGUAUUUUUGCAUGCAUGGUUGCCCCCGAAUCCCCGAGACAGGUGUUUUGCAACCUGUUGCGCCGGGUCUGCGUGUUUGCUCUCCAAGAGGACAGUUGUUUCUUUGCAUCUUCAAAAGAGCGAAAAAGAGAGCGAGGGCAUGCUUCUUUGCUUCGCACGGAGAGAGAGAAAGGGAACGAUCAAGUUUUGGUUGGAAUUCAAAUAGGGAACUGAGCUUCCAAAAUCGACGAUUCUCGAGCCAAUCAAUAGUUCGGGUCCGGCGCCGACAAUACUUCCAAUACUGAGUAGUUUGGUGGUGGUCCUCGAGCAGCUCAACCGACAAUGACACUAAUGACACAAAGAAAGUUGGUGCUGAAGAAGAUUUUUACGAUUUUCUUAGGUGGCUUGAAAGAUAUGAAAUGGAAGCCCAAGGUGUGGAUCCCAAGAGGGGUUGGGGAUUUCGUGGUAUGCACAAGAUAUACUUAGGAUGACGGUACAAAUUUUGAGCUGCCAAAGUUUGAUAAUGAAAAUAUAAUCUUUGAGCUUUUAUGGGAGUGUAGGCUACGUGUCUUAAGUGUUUGUGAUAUAUGUACAGAGUUUGCUAUUCUGUAUCCUUUUGAUCAUCGAGGAAUUGUGAUAUUUGUAUUUGUCCGCACUCUGCAGUACAUCAAUCCUAUUAUCAAGAAUUCACAACAUCGUUUGAAUGGGAACUUUUAUAUGUAAUAGAGAGGGUUUUGACUCUUCCAUGUUUAUAUGUGUGACUAUGAAUGUUCUGUUGCUUUUUCCACCUGUGGUGUGUAUACAGUGCAGUCAUUCCCUCUCCCAUGUUGGUUCAUAUUUCAAAAAACCUUCUACUUACAUACGGUAUCGCUAAUAUAAGUUAAAUAUUCUUGCUGAGCUGCUGUGUUUUGGAGAUCGAGAGUUCUAUAAAGAUUGCUAGAAUGCAAAAUCAGUUGACGAGGUAGGUUCUCUGUCCUGUGAAAUGCAUUAGUAGUUCGUCCUCUUACAGAUCUUUGCUGACAUGAAAUUUCUGACCAUUGACUUUUGUUGUACGGCUCUUCUGGCUUCUUGGCUGCAUCAGUAUUGCUUAGGCCCCAUUGAUUAGAUUACUCAAUAUCUCUGUUUUUCUUAUUCAAAUCUUCAAAUUUAGAUACCACAAUAUUUUUUUCUUGGUCCCAAUUUUCUGUUUCUAAUAAUAUCAGAAGAAAACAAAGACCUUAGAUACAGAUAAAAUAUCAAGAAGAAAACAAAAACCUUAGAUACAGAUAAAUCAGAUGCAAACUAUAUAUAAACAGUGGUCAAUUUCUAAUGCCUUCUCCAAUAACAUUGAUUAAGGAGAUUAAUGCUCUAAAGUCUAAAACAUAUUUUCUUUUAAGAAUUACCUCCUCUUAUUUGUAUUUCUAAAUUAAAGUUCUCAUUAGAGAAAUGACCAAAAUAUUACUUCUGCUAUUGUGUCUGUUUGAUAUUAAAUAGGGUUGGAAGGAAAGUGCUUCUUAUAUGUUACUGUUUGAUCAUAUUCAAGAUUACAUUUCAACGGCAACUUCAGUCACUCUUUUCUUCUCUUACCAUCCAAUCUUUCAGUGGCAGCCCCCAGAUCAACAGCAGAUGAUGAUGAUACAUCUGAAGAACUUAUAUAUAGUAAUACCAGCGUCUGCUAAAAAUUUUUACUUUUGAAAUAUGUAAAUAUGCAAGUUUGGUUAAAACACCAGCUUUUGUACUAUGGAAGGGAUAACAUUUCUUAGCUUAUGAUUGUGAAUCUAUUACGUACAAUGGUACAAUUUAGAGAGAGAAAAAAAAAAAGAGCUAACCCGCAGCAUCGCAUGGGGAAAAUAUUAAGUAAGAACAUGUUUUUCGUUUCAUAUAGACACAUCAUGGUUAUCUUUGUCAACCAAAAACUUAAAACCAAACAUAAAGAGGUUAAAGUAGAAAAUCCGCCCCGCAGCAUCGCGCGGGCUCUCAUGCUAGUCUAACAUAAUGUUACAGUAGAGUUAAGCUGUACAAUGAUAUUUCAAUUAUUAAUAAUAAUUUCGGGCGUGGGGCUGAGCCUUCCAGUUAGGUUGGGUUCCAAACCUUUAAAAAAAAAAAAAAUUAACCAGUAACCUGACGCUAGUAGAGAAGAAUUCAAACACGACUUUCCCUAAUAUAUUGAGAACCCAAAAAUCUUAGGCCCCCAUCCACCUGGGUCCUAAAUAUGGGACCAAAAGUGAGCGGGCCUAACUAACACAGCCCAUCCAAAACCAACGAGCCCUAAUGCAGCCUAAUGCAGCCUAUGACACUAGAAAACAUGCCCAAGCCCAGGCCCCUGAAAAAAGUGCUCAGGGCACCCAAACCACCAUUCCGGCGCUGCCAUGCUGAGCCACGCCACCGUCGGAGUCCACCAUCUCAAUCAGCAUCUGCGACUUUCGUCCUCUCCAGGUAAUUGUCGCCACCUAGGACUCGGAGCCACCACCAGCCCACGAAGAUCUCUAAUCUUGGAACAAAACGAGGAACACGUACCAUGAGGCCAUACAACCCAAAGCACAAUCGCCGCCAUCAAACCAGACUGGAUCAGACCCAGCCACCACACGCCACUAAACACCAUCAAACUCCCAGAUCAGAAACCAUUCCGACCUCCACCGUCCACAGCUACCAAUAGAGGGCAUACCCGGUUACCAUUGCGACAACUCUACCUUCCCCGUGAAAGAGAAUAAGCAGAACUAGGAUCCCAAAUUCGAUCUUCUUCUUUUUUUUUUUUUUUUUCCAUAGACCUGCAUCGUAGAGAGACCUUGUUUGGAGAAAUACCCUCAAACACACGAUCUCCCCUCUAGCACGACCAUGAAGUUUCAAACGGCAAGCCAAUAAGAACAGGAUUCCAAACCCACAUGUUGAACAAAAGGGAAGCACGACCUCGAGGAGGGCGACAGAAAGGCUUCACGAGGGGAAGAAAUCUCAUCGGAUGCCAAGGAUCUCGACGAGCAAAACCCUAGAGAUAGGGUUUUCCACCUCUAGCAGAAGAGAAGGAGGAGAGCUCUCAUCUCAUAGCUAACCUCCAGUUUAA